GAUGAAGAACGCAGCGAAAUGCGAUAAGUAGUGUGAAUUGCAGAAUUCAGUGAAUCAUCGAAUCUUUGAACGCCCAUUGCGCCCCUCGGUAUUCCGUGGGGCAUGCCUGUUCGAGCGUCAUUUACCCCUCAAGCACUGCUUGGUGUUGGGCGUCUGUCCCGCUUCGCGCGCGGACUCGCCCCAAAGGUAUUGGCAGCGGUCGUGCCAGCUUCUCGCGCAGCACAUUGCGCUUCUCGAGGCGGUCGAUCGGCGUCCACGAAGCUCACCUCCACCGUUUGACCUCGGAUCAGGUAGGGAUACCCGCUGAACUUAAGCAUAUCAAUAAGCGGAGGA
rnacentral:misc_RNA from 1 species